rnacentral:lncRNA from 1 species
GGAGGAGGCGGCCCUGGCGCGGGGAAGCAGUGGGAAAAUCGCAAGGAAGCCGGGUAAGGACCUUUCAUUUUCAGCCCUGCUCUUUAAAUACUAGACAUACCGUCUGGCGCAUGUCGAGGCGUGUAUUAUUUUGAUCCAGUGCGCGUGCCGUAUGUGACUUGGCUUGGCUUCCCCUGAAAGCAGCGGCUGUGGGGAGUUGAUUCGGAAGUGAAGGGCCCUGGGCGACCCGGCGAGUAGAGGCAACACCAACACUCCUCCUUAGCGAGGGGUCUCCCCGCCGCGGUGGCUGCCCGGCCCCAAGGACAGGAGGGAUUUGUGCACUGACUCCUGACCCCGUCCUCCAGCGCUGCUCUGAAGGGAGAGUCUGUGCAGUGGCACCUGCGCGAAGCUGGCCAAAGCCUGCCCAGACGGCUCACCUGUGCGGGAUGGAACAAAAGAAUUUCGCUCUUGUUGCCCACUGUUGUCCAGGCUGGAGUGCAAUGGCACGAUCUCAGCUCACCACAACCUCCGCCUCCUGGGUUCAAGUGAUUCUCCUACCUCAGCCUCCUGAGUAGCUGGGAUUACAGGUAUGUGCCACCAUGCCUGGCUAAUUUUGUAUUUUUAGUAGAGACGGGGUUUCUCCAUGCUGGUCAGGCUGGUCUCGAACUCCCGACCUCAGGUGAUCCGCCUGCCUCGGCCUCCGAAGGUUUUGGGAUUACAGGUGUGAGCCACUGCCCCCAGCCUGAAAAAAAUUUUAUCAUAGAAAAUAUCCAACCAUAAACAAAAUUAGUGAGAACAGUAUUAUAAACCCUCAUGUACUCAUCACCCAGUUCCUUUUUGUUUUUUUUUUAGAUGGAGUCUCGCUCUGUCGCCACAGUGCAGUGGUGCUAUCUGGGCUCACUGCAACCUCCAUCUCCCGGAUUCAAGCGAUUCUCCUGCCUCAGCCUCCCGAGUAGCUGGGACUACAGGCACCUGCCACCACGUCCAGCUCAUUUUUUUGUAUUUUUAGUAGAGACGGGGCUUCACCAUGUUGACUAGGAUGGUCUCGAUCUCCUGACCUCGUGAUCCG